GACGAACGCUGGCGGCGUGCUUAACACAUGCAAGUCGAACGGAAAGGCCCUGCUUGCAGGGUACUCGAGUGGCGAACGGGUGAGUAACACGUGGGUGAUCUGCCCUGCACUUCGGGAUAAGCCUGGGAAACUGGGUCUAAUACCGGAUAGGAGCCAUUUUUAGUGUGAUGGUUGGAAAGUUUUUUCGGUGUAGGAUGAGCUCGCGGCCUAUCAGCUUGUUGGUGGGGUAAUGGCCUACCAAGGCGGCGACGGGUAGCCGGCCUGAGAGGGUGGACGGCCACAUUGGGACUGAGAUACGGGCCCAGACUCCUACGGGAGGCAGCAGUGGGGAAUAUUGCACAAUGGGCGCAAGCCUGAUGCAGCGACGCCGCGUGGGGGGAUGACGGCCUUCGGUUGUAACGUACCUUUCGCUAGGACGAAGCUUUUGUUGUACGGUACCGUAGAUAAGAAGACACCGGCGUAACU
rnacentral:rRNA from 1 species